AAGUCACAGGGAACAAGGCAGAAUGAGGUUCAGUGGGGUGUGCCAGGUGUGUGUUGAUCAGCACCAAUGACAGCAUGAAACUGAUGUUCCAGGGACUAAGAUGAAGCAGUUGAAAUCACUGGAUCCCAGGCAGCUUCCAGCCAGCAGAGACAUUCUGUCUUCCCUACACUCGGGGCAGGUCUUGGCAGCACCCUGCCUGACUCCAGCCUGUCCCUUCUCAUGCCUGGGAAAGCCCAGGAGACCGCGGCGCACUCACCCGGUGGCUGCCUCUGUCCAUGGUGUAAGAGAAUGCUUCUUCCAGGCUCAGCUGAUGUCGAGGAGGCAAAAGAAACAGAGGAAGAGACACGUGUCCUAAAGCAAAGUCGCUGCGCUCAGAAGUGUGGAAGCAGAAGAGUUAGGUGGACUUGGGAAUGCUCCCUUUGUGAUAAAGCCCCAGGGUGGCUGCAACUUCGCUGAGAUCCGUGGAUUCUGCGAUUGGGUCUGUGUUCCCCCAUGCAUGAAUCUGUACCCAGAUAAAAUUCUCUUUGCUUUUA
rnacentral:lncRNA from 1 species